AUUGAACGCUGGCGGCAGGCCUAACACAUGCAAGUCGAGCGGAUGACAGGAGCUUGAUCCUUAAUUCAGCGGCGGACGGGUGUGUAAUGCCUAGGAAUCUGCCUGGUAGUGGGGGACAACGUUUCGAAAGGAACGCUAAUACCGCAUACGUCCUACGGGAGAAAGCAGGGGAACUUCGGGCCUUGCGCUAUCAGAGGAGCCUAGGUCGGAUUAGCUAGUAGGUGGGGUAAUGGCUCACCUAGGCGACGAUCCGUAACUGGUCUGAGAGGAUGAUCAGUCACACUGGAACUGAGACACGGUCCAGACUCCUACGGGAGGCAGCAGUGGGGAAUAUUGGACAAUGGGCGAAAGCCUGAUCCAGCCAUGCCGCGUGUGUGAAGAAGGUCUUCGGAUUGUAAAGCACUUUAAGUUGGGAGGAAGGGCAGUAAGUUAAUACCUUGCUGUUUUGACGUUACCGACAGAAUAAGCACCGGCUAACUCUGUGCCAGCCGCCGCAGUAAUAC
rnacentral:rRNA from 1 species